rnacentral:rRNA from 1 species
GUGGGGAAUUUUGGACAAUGGGCGCAAGCCUGAUCCAGCAAUGCCGCGUGCAGGAAGAAGGCCUUCGGGUUGUAAACUGCUUUUGUCAGGGAAGAAAUCUUCUGGGCUAAUACCCCGGGAGGAUGACGGUACCUGAAGAAUAAGCACCGGCUAACUACGUGCCAGCAGCCGCGGUAAUACGUAGGGUGCGAGCGUUAAUCGGAAUUACUGGGCGUAAAGCGUGCGCAGGCGGCUUUGCAAGACAGAUGUGAAAUCCCCGGGCUCAACCUGGGAACUGCAUUUGUGACUGCAAGGCUAGAGUACGGCAGAGGGGGAUGGAAUUCCGCGUGUAGCAGUGAAAUGCGUAGGUAUGCGGAGGAACACCAAUGGCGAAGGCAAUCCCCUGGGCCUGUACUGACGCUCAUGCACGAAAGCGUGGGGAGCAAACAGGAUUAGAUACCCCUGUAGUCC